GAUGAACGCUAGCGGCAGGCCUAACACAUGCAAGUCGAACGGCAGCACGGGAGCAAUCCUGGUGGCGAGUGGCGAACGGGUGAGUAAUAUAUCGGAACGUGCCCAGUCGUGGGGGAUAACGUAGCGAAAGCUACGCUAAUACCGCAUACGAUCUAUGGAUGAAAGCGGGGGAUCGCAAGACCUCGCGCGAUUGGAGCGGCCGACAUCAGAUUAGGUAGUUGGUGGGGUAAAAGCCUACCAAGCCUUCGAUCUGUAGCUGGUCUGAGAGGACGACCAGCCACACUGGAACUGAGACACGGUCCAGACUCCUACGGGAGGCGGCAGUGGGGAAUUUUGGACAAUGGGCGCAAGCCUGAUCCAGCAAUGCCGCGUGCAGGAUGAAGGCCU
rnacentral:rRNA from 1 species